UAGGGAAUAUUGCAUAAUGGGCGAAAGCCUGAUGCAGCAACGCCGCGUGUGCGAUGAAGGCCUUCGGGUCGUAAAGCACUUUUAGAGAGGAUGAGGAAGGACAGUACUCUCUGAAUAAGCCUCGGCUAACUACGUGCCAGCAGCCGCGGUAAAACGUAGGAGGCGAGCGUUAUCCGGAUUUACUGGGCGUAAAGCGCGUGCAGGCGGUAAGGAAAGUUGGAUGUGAAAGCUCCUGGCUUAACUGGGAGAGGUCGUUCAAAACUACCUAACUAGAGUGUGGGAGAGGGAGGUGGAAUUCCGGGUGUAGUGGUGAAAUGCGUAGAUAUCCGGAGGAACACCAGUGGCGAAAGCGGCCUCCUGGCCCAAGACUGACGCUCAGACGCGAAAGCUAGGGUAGCAAACGGGAUUAGAGACCCCGGUAGUCCUAGCUGUAAACGAUGUGGACUUGGCGUCGGCGGGUUUAAAUCCGUCGGUGUCGAAGCAAACGCGAUAAGUCCACCGCCUGGGGACUACGGCCGCAAGGUUA
rnacentral:rRNA from 1 species